AACGAACGCUGGCGGCAUGCCUAACACAUGCAAGUCGAACGAGAUCUUCGGGUCUAGUGGCGCACGGGUGCGUAACGCGUGGGAAUCUGCCCUUUGGUUCGGAAUAACAGUUGGAAACGACUGCUAAUACCGGAUGAUGACGAAAGUCCAAAGAUUUAUCGCCAGAGGAUGAGCCCGCGUAGGAUUAGCUAGUUGGUGUGGUAAAGGCGCACCAAGGCGACGAUCCUUAGAUUGUCUGAGAGGAUGAUCAGCCACACUAGGACUGAGACACGGCCCAGACUCCGACGGGAGGCAGCAGUGGGGAAUAUUGGACAAUGGGCGAAAGCCUGAUCCAGCAAUGCCGCGUGAGUGAUGAAGGCCUUAGGGUUGUAAAGCUCUUUUACCCGGGAUGAUAAUGACAGUACCGGGAGAAUAAGCUCCGGCUAACUCCGUGCCAGCCGCCGCAGUAA
rnacentral:rRNA from 1 species